rnacentral:lncRNA from 1 species
GGUUCUGGCUGCAGCACACAUCCCCCCCCUCCCCUCCCCUCCACCGUGCUGCAGGGAAUCCCAGCAUGCUCCGUCCACGGCCUGACUGGAAGGCUCCAUGGCAACCUCCGGGGUCAGGGGUUGCACAGAAAGGUUGCUUUUAUCUGCUAAUGAGAGAGUACAAACAGGAAACGGACGUCUUACCGGAGCGACCUGCACCACCUGCAGCUGGAUGUGCUGCGGCUGAGCCAGGCUGCCCCCCGGCUGAGACACCGGGAUGUACUGGAUCCUCUGGUAAUCCCCCUGCGCCGUUCGGUAGUCAGUGGUCAGGGUUUGAGACAGCUCGGUCAUGGCCUGAGUCAACAAAUCUGUGGUCUGCGAGGAGAGGAGGACAUCAAAGGAUCAUUUUCAUUUUUCCAAUUUAUCUGUUCAACAAAACUCAAGUGCGUCAUAUAUGCGUCAAUU